UAAUACAGAGGUCCCGAGCGUUGUUCGGAUUCAUUGGGCGUAAAGGGUGUGUAGGAGGUCAGGUAAGUCGGGCGUGAAAUCCCACUGCUUAACAGUGGAACUGCGUUCGAUACUGCUUGGCUAGAGGAUUGGAGGGGGGAUCGGAAUUUAUGGUGUAGCAGUGAAAUGCGUAGAUAUCAUAAGGAACACCGGUGGCGAAGGCGGAUCCCUGGAAAAUUCCUGACUCUGAAACACGAAAGCUAGGGGAGCAAACGGGAUUAGAUACCCCGGUAGUCCUAGCCGUAAACGGUGUGCAUUGGGUGUGUGGGGAUUCGACCCCCUACGUGCCGAAGAUAACUCAUUAAAUGCACCGCCUGGGAAGUACGGUCGCAAGAUUA
rnacentral:rRNA from 1 species